rnacentral:rRNA from 1 species
GUGCACCUCUAGUCAGUGAUACAUGGU